ACGGAAGGCAGCAGUGGGGAAUAUUGGACAAUGGGGGAAACCCUGAUCCAGCGACGCCGCGUGAGUGAAGAAGUAUUUCGGUAUGUAAAGCUCUAUCAGCAGGGAAGAUGAUGACGGUACCUGACUAAGAAGCCCCGGCUAACUACGUGCCAGCAGCCGCGGUAAUACGUAGGGGGCAAGCGUUAUCCGGAUUUACUGGGUGUAAAGGGAGCGUAGGCGGCUGUGCAAGUCAGAUGUGAAAACCCGGGGCUCAACUCCGGGACUGCAUUUGAAACUGCGUAGCUUGAGUACUGGAGAGGCAAGCGGAAUUCCUAGUGUAGCGGUGAAAUGCGUAGAUAUUAGGAAGAACACCGGUGGCGAAGGCGGCUUGCUGGACAGAGACUGACGCUGAGGCUCGAAAGCGUGGGGAGCAAACAGGAUUAGAUACCCUGGUA
rnacentral:rRNA from 1 species